rnacentral:rRNA from 1 species
GAGUUUGAUCCUGGCUCAGAACGAACGCUGGCGGCGUGCUUAACACAUGCAAGUCAGGGAGAAAGUCUCUUCGGGGAUGAUUAAACCGGCGCACGGGUGAGUAACACGUGAGUGACCUGCCUUUUAGACUGGAACAACUUACCGAAAGGUGAGCUAAUGCCGGAUGAGUUAUAUAAGUGCAUGUUUAUAUAGGAAAAGUUGGGGAGACCUGACGCUGAAAGAUGGACUCGCGUCCCAUUAGCUAGUUGGUAGGGUAAUGGCCUACCAAGGCGACGAUGGGUAGCCGGCCUGAGAGGGUGGCCGGCCACACUGGGACUGAGACACGGCCCAGACUCCUACGGGAGGCAGCAGUGGGGAAUUUUGCGCAAUGCUCGUAAGAGUGACGCAGCGACGCCGCGUGAAUGACGAAGGCCUUCGGGUCGUAAAGUUCUUUCGACAGGGAAGAAAAUGCCUAUAAGUAACUGUGUAUGUAUUGACGGUACCUGUAUAAGCAGCCCCGGCUAACUCCGUGCCAGCAGCCGCGGUAAUACGGAGGGGGCGAGCGUUGUUCGGAGUGACUGGGCGUAAAGAGCACGUAGGCGGUGUUGUAAGUCAUUAGUCAAAGACUAGAGCUCAACUUUAGUAAGGCUAGUGAUACUAUAAUACUAGAGUAUCAGAGAGGAUUGCAGAAUUCCUGGUGUAGCGGUGAAAUGCGUAGAUAUCAGGAGGAAUACCGUUAGCGAAGGCGGCAAUCUGGCUGGAAACUGAC